UCCUGCUUCGAAGGGAAGAAGGAAGCUAGCUGGGGCCUUUCUGCUCAGCCUGUUAGACAACAGCACAAUCUCGUCUCCAUGUACUUUACCUUUCCCUGUACCUCUGCUUGUCUGAGAGGUCUCAAGAUCAUCAUUUGGGACCUCCACUUCUGCUGGGUCUGUCAUCUUAGAUCGCCUUGAUCUUCAGCAUCUUUGUGAAGUUGAACAGGGGAACGACUCUUAUUAUAGAUGGGAACGCUGAGACCCAAGAACUUGGAAUGUCUAUACCUAAAUGCAGAUUGUCAUUUAGAACCAGCUCAGGCAUCCUGUCUGACUGUCCUCUCUGUAAAACCUGCAGCAGAUCACCAGAGCCACAGAAAACCGCUCACCCUGCCAAUGGAGGCCCACCUGCGAAGAUGCUGGGCUUCUCUUUGCUAACACAUGGCUUCUGCAUCAAUCAACCUUUCUCCUCAAUGCUGCCUCACCACCCCAAUUCGUGAAUCACUGCCAGGGAUCUUUCCUUGCAGUUGUUCCUCAAUCAUCACCCUUCCUGUCACCUGAUCUAAUUCUACAUUCCCAUCAAUACUGCCUUAAACAUCCCCCAUUCUAUUAAUAAGAUGUCUUCAGCUUCUGCCUGCACUGACGUUUGACAUCCAAGCUCCUAUUGUUACAAUUCCACCUCCAUUCUUGGCUAGCUCAUCCAUAAAUUGGGGAUAAUGAUGCCAACAUCACUGGAUUUUUAUGAGAAUUAAACCAGAUAAUUUU